rnacentral:rRNA from 1 species
UACGAAGGGUGCAAGCGUUAAUCGGAAUUACUGGGCGUAAAGGGUGCGUAGGUGGUUGUUUAAGUCUGCUGUGAAAGCCCCGGGCUCAACCUGGGAAUGGCAGUGGAUACUGGACAGCUAGAGUGCGGUAGAGGGUAGUGGAAUUCCCGGUGUAGCAGUGAAAUGCGUAGAGAUCGGGAGGAACACCAGUGGCGAAGGCGGCUACCUGGACCAGCCCUGACACUGAAGCACGAAAGCGUGGGGAGCAAACAGG